UCUCCGUUAGUAAACCAGCGGAGGGAUCAUUACUAGAAUCGUAAGACUCCUAACCCCUGUGAAUGUACCGAAACGUUGCCUCGGCGGGCCUCGCGCCCACCGGCAGCCCCUUACUCUUUGCCUCUCACGUUGUCUCUCCGAGUAUCGCAGAAUGCAUAAAAACUUUCAACAACGGAUCUCUUGGUUCUGGCAUCGAUGAAGAACGCAGC
rnacentral:misc_RNA from 1 species